rnacentral:rRNA from 1 species
UACGUAGGGUGCGAGCGUUAAUCGGAAUUACUGGGCGUAAAGUGUGCGCAGGCGGCCGCGCAAGUCGAGUGUGAAAGCCCCGGGCUUAACUUGGGAAUUGCGCUCGAAACUACGUGGCUGGAGUGUGGCAGAGGAAGGUGGAAUUCCAGGUGUAGCGGUGAAAUGCGUAGAGAUCUGGAGGAACACCGAUGGCGAAGGCAGCCUUCUGGGCCAACACUGACGCUCAUCGCACGAAAGCGUGGGGGAGCAAACAGG